UACGUAGGGGGCAAGCGUUGUCCGGAAUCAUUGGGCGUAAAGCGCGUGUAGGCGGCCCGGUAAGUCCGCUGUGAAAGUCCAGGGCUCAACCCUGGGAUGCCGGUGGAUACUGUCGGGCUUGAGUACGGAAGAGGCGAGUGGAAUUCCUGGUGUAGCGGUGAAAUGCGCAGAUAUCAGGAGGAACACCAAUUGCGAAGGCAGCUCGCUGGGACGUUACUGACGCUGAGACGCGAAAGCGUGGGGAGCAAACAGG
rnacentral:rRNA from 1 species